AGCUUCCUGUUGGGGUUUCCUUGGCCUCACCCCCUGAUUUGGGCCAUUUCCUUCCCCAACAGAGGGACCUGAAUGCCGGCUGGUGCAGACAUGGUGUCCCUGCUGCUGCUGUCCCUGCUGUGGGGGGGGUCCCUGCAGGAGGACUGGGGGUACCAGCUUCGAGUGCAGGACACAGUGACGGUGCAGGAGGGUCUGUGUGUGCACGUGCCCUGCUCCUUCUCCUAUCCCUGGAGCUCGUGGUCUACCCGUGAGAGGCCCUACAUGUACUGGUUGCGGAGUGGGGACAGCUCCCAUAACUCUCAGCUUGUGGCUACAAAUGAUCCAACAAAAACCGUGAAGACAGAGUUCGGGGACCGGUUCAACCUCGUCAGGAAGCCCCAGGAAAACGACUGUUCCCUGAGGAUCAGAGAGGCCAGGAGGAGUGACCAGGGACUCUACAAGUUCCAAAUAGGGAAAGACUAUGGGAGAUACAUUUACAGAGAUAAGCAGCUGAACCUGCAGGUGGCAGCCCUGACACAGGAACCCGACAUCCACUUUCUGGAGCCCCUGAAGUCUGGCUAUCCCACGAACCUGACCUGUAGUCUGCAGGGAUCCUGCGAAGAAGGAAGACCUCUCAGCUUCUUCUGGAUGGGGGGUGCUCUUGACUCGCUGGACCCCCAGACCCUCCGCUCCUCGGUGCUGACCCUCACCCCAAGGGUGCAGGACCAUGGCAGCAACCUCACCUGUCAGGUGCACCUGCCAGGAGUUCAGGGCACCGUGGAAAGAACCAUCAGGCUCAAUGUCUCCUACGCUCCACAGUUGAUGACCACGCGCGUUUUGCAGGGAAACUACACAGUCCCGAAGAUGCUGAGCAAUGGCAUGUCGCUGCCUGUCUUGGAGGGUCAGUUCCUGAGCCUGGUCUGCAUCGCUGACAGCAACCCCCCUGCCAUGCUGAGCUGGUCCCGGGAGGGCAAAGCCCUGAGCCCCUCCCAGCCCUCAGCGCCUGGGGUCCUGGAGCUGCUCCACGUAGGGGUGGAAGAUGAAGGGGAAUUUACCUGCCAGGCUCAGAACCCCCUGGGCUCCCAGUGCAUCUCCAUCAGCCUCUCUGUGCGCAGAAGCCCCUCUUCCUGCAACUGUGUGAGUGAGAAGCAGGAGGGCUCCUGGCCCCUGGUCCUCACCCUGAUCAGAGGGUUCCUCAUGGGGGCUGGCUUCCUCCUCGCCUAUGGCCUCACCUGGAUCUACUACACCAGGUGUGGGGACCCCCAGGGAUCGGGGCCGAGAGGCCUGAGUGAGCCUCUUUCCUUCUCAAGACGGGACUGAGGUGUGGACCUGGAGCCCAGGGGGACAGAUAUGAGACGUCAUGGUCAGCUUCUUCCUGGAACCUCUCAACUCAAACCUUCUCCACUGUACCCCUGGACUUUAAUUUAGGGAGGUGAAGGAGCAAUGACACAGAGAGGCCAACAUCAUCAGAAGUUGCUACUUACGUUUCCCAAGGAAAUGGAGCAUGCCACACCAUGCAGGGCCAUGUGGGAAGAAGCACCACGUUUUGGCUGGGAGGCAGAAUCAGGGUGUUUGUGGGACACGAGCUGGGAUUGGUUAAUUUGAUCUGAAAGGUGAGCUCCCUGCAGAACUCUUCACCAUCUCUAAAAACUGGCUGGCCCUAGGAGGCACCAUCUCUCCCCAGAUGGCAAGCUUUUUAAGAAAAAAAGGAAGUAAAAACACACCGUAGCUGAUGCCCCCUUGUUUCUGCCAACGGCCAGUCUCCAUCUGCUCAGCCUGCCUCUCCCUGCUGGCUCUGCCCAUCCAACCUCUCCCACCCUCCUCCAUUCCAUCCCCAGCCCUGCACCUGUAAGGGAGCUCCCUGGGCUUACUUCCCAUGACCUGCUUAACCCCUGAGUUUCUGGUCUCCCAAACUUCCCUCUCAGUGUAGAUGACAGUGCAUAAUAGAGUCAAGAAUGCAGCUUUUCUUUCCCAGAUGAGAGACACCUACCUCAUAAUAAUUGCUACAGAACAUCACAUUUACUUAUAAAUAAAAGUUUUAUUAAAGAUGCAACAUAAAAAUUGA